rnacentral:rRNA from 1 species
UACGGAGGGGACUAGCGUUGUUCGGAAUUACUGGGCGUAAAGCGCACGUAGGCGGAUUUGUAAGUCAGGGGUGAAAUCCCGGGGCUCAACCUCGGAACUGCCUUUGAUACUGCAAAUCUCGAGUCCGGAAGAGGUGAGUGGAAUUCCUAGUGUAGAGGUGAAAUUCGUAGAUAUUCGCAAGAACACCAGUGGCGAAGGCGGCUCACUGGCCCGGUACUGACGCUGAGGCACGAAAGCGUGGGGAGCAAACAGG